CUGCUGUCAGUGUCUUUGAGACACAGCUGCCACCACCCCCCCCCCCACCUCUGCAGGAGACACUCAAAUAAUACGAGGUUUUGUUGUAGGUGGAAGUCUGUAGCGCAAAAGGAAGUUAUCAAUAUUUUAUGUAAAGCUUUUGUGUUGGUGUAGUCAAACAUGGCAUGAAGACAACGCUAAACCCGAUACUAUGGAGGACAAUUUUUAAUCAG